AGUGAACGCUGGCGGUAGGCCUAACACAUGCAAGUCGAACGGCAGCACAGUAAGAGCUUGCUCUUACGGGUGGCGAGUGGCGGACGGGUGAGGAAUACAUCGGAAUCUACUUUUUCGUGGGGGAUAACGUAGGGAAACUUACGCUAAUACCGCAUACGACCUACGGGUGAAAGCAGGGGAUCUUCGGACCUUGCGCGGUUGAAUGAGCCGAUGUCGGAUUAGCUAGUUGGCGGGGUAAAGGCCCACCAAGGCGACGAUCCGUAGCUGGUCUGAGAGGAUGAUCAGCCACACUGGAACUGAGACACGGUCCAGACUCAUACGGGAGGCAGCAGGGGGGAAUAUUGGACAAUGGGAGCAAGCCUGAUCCAGCCAUACCGCGUGGGUGAAGAAGGCCUUCGGGUUGUAAAGCCCUUUUGUUGGGAAAGAAAAGCAGCAGGUUAAUACCCCGCUGUUCUGACGGUACCCAAAGAAUAAGCACCGGCUAACUUCGU
rnacentral:rRNA from 1 species